UACCAGCACCCCGAGUGGUCGGGACGAUUAUUGGGCCUAAAGCAUCCGUAGCCGGUUUUACAAGUCCUCCGUUAAAUCCAACUGCUUAACAGAUGGGCCGCGGAGGAUACUGUAAGACUAGGAGGCAGGAGAGGCAAGCGGUACUCAGUGGGUAGGGGUAAAAUCCUCUGAUCCAUUGAAGACCACCAGUGGCGAAGGCGGCUUGCCAAUACGCGCUCGACGGUGAGGGAUGAAAGCUGGGGGAGCAAACCGG
rnacentral:rRNA from 1 species